rnacentral:rRNA from 1 species
AAUUGACGGGGAGCACCGCAACGGGAGGAGCGUGCGGUUCAAUUGGAUUCAACGCCGGACAACUCACCAGGAGCGACGGUUACAUGAAGGCCAGGCUGAUGACCUUGCCUGAUUUCCGAGAGGUGGUGCAUGGCCGUCGUCAGUUCGUACCGUAAGGCGUUCUCUUAAGUGAGAUAACGAACGAGACCCUCACCGCUAAUUGCUAGUGUUCUCUCCGGAGGGCACGCACAUUAACGGGACCGCUGUCGCUAAGACAGAGGAAGGAGAGGUCAACGGUAGGUCCGUAUGCCCCGAAUCUCCUGGGCUACACGCGCGCUACAAAGGUUGGGACAAUGGGCUCCGACAUCGAAAGGUGAAAGGCAAAUCUCGAAACCCAAUCGUAGUUCGGAUUGAGGGUUGUAACUCACCCUCAUGAAGCUGGAUUCCGUAGUAAUCGCUUGUCAACAUCAAGCGGUGAAUAUGCCCCUGCUCCUU